GUUGUUUUGUGACAGCUGAGUCAGUUUUCAGUGCCAGCAGAGAGGGCGGUGAGGCUCUGAAGAUGGCGUCACAUCGCUCUGGAAGAAAACAAACUUCUCAAUAUCCUCUCUAUAAUCAGCUCUGACUGCCGGACAUCUGACCUGGGUGCUUUUUUUCUUCGUCAGGAGACUCUCAGAGUUGAGGAGCGAUAAAGAGAAACAGAAGCAUAGCUCCAGCUGGCUGUCAGGAAAACAACCGAUUCUGUUUUUUGUCCAAUAACUCUGAUGUUGUCGGGAAUGAAAUGCUAAGACAUGAAGUUAGCAAGGGAGUCAGCUCUCUCUUGCAGGGUCAAGUAAAUAUUUUCUUUCGUGGUCAGAAUGAAUUAGUAAGAAAUUCCUUAGAGUAUUCCAGCUAUUUCAUAAUGUGUAGUGUAUCUUUUUCACACUAUGAUGUUUUUACCUUCGAGCUGUCACGCUCUGUAUCAAGGAUAGACUCCUGAUAGUGCCAGCAGUCCCUCUCACCUGACAGGCUGCAUUUUGAAAAAGGAAAAGCGAGUACAAACCAAUAAAACAUAGAUGAGGCCAACAACAAGCACCAUGCUCCAGCAGAAUAACAACAAUAACUACCCCUGCCUGAAUGUGUCAGGCUCCACCCGGGAGAUACUCCAGAAGUGCUCCAGAGCCUCUCUGCCCUUCCCCAGCCGACUGGAGCUGGGUCUGGGUGACCUGCCGCUGAUUCGGGGCCUCCGAGCUUGGGCCCUUUGCUCCAAGAACCGCCGGAAGGCUGGUGGUCUGCUUGGAGGAGGACAAGCCCCGACAGCUCCUCCUGCAGGCCGCCGUGGCUCCACUUCCUGUCCCAGGCCUGCAGAUGUGUAUCUGAGCGGGGAGUGGGGUCGCAUGGGGUACGGGCUUCCCUUGGGGCUGGAUGCUGGGCAGGCCGGGAUUGGAGCUUUGGUUACAGUUGCCACUCUGAAGACCUCAGAGGGCAGCGGGAAGACACAGACGCAAUGCCUCUUUCUCCGGACUGAGAAAGGUAGCUGUUUGUACUCGACAGCUAAGCCUGGUUCUGGUGUGACUACCAGUGCAGCCUCCAGUGUGGUUGGGGGGUGGCUGAGAGGAAAGACAGGAGGAGGAGGAAACAGAGACACACCAGCCGGGAGGAGGGACCAUGGGCCAACUCCUCUGGCACAGACCGGAGCAAACCGGGUUAGAGUGCGAUCUGGCCGGAGAUGGAGGAAGUCCUGUAACGCAGCUGGUCGUGAAAAAACAGGCGUGAGCAGAGAGAGGCAGCAGAGUAGCAGGGAGGAUCCUGCUGGAGAAAUCACUCUGGAAGAAAGGCAGGAAGAGCGAGACAAAGGAGGCCUGGACAGUAAACAGUUUCCCAGCUCGCAGCAGGACAUCAGGAGAGCCAGACAGGAGGGAGCAUUCAGAAGUCCCAGAUGCUGCCACAAUGCUUCUCCCAAAACCUGUACUCAGUGUGGAAGGAGAGCACAGAGGAGGGAAAGCCAGGCUGAACAUGAGAGAGGUGAAAGUCCAAGAAGAGACGUCCCAAACAGGCUGAAUAGUGAGGUGAAGGGAAUGAGGAAGGAGAGGCAAAAGAAUGAGGAGGAGGAGAAGGGAGUCCUUUGCGGGUUUGAGUCAUCUAACUCAGUUUUGGCCGAACCAAACCCUGACCUAGAAUCUAACAACUUUCAACAAGAAUCCCACAACAGCUGUGAUGUUGAAGCGAUUAGAGAAGCCGAGAGCAAUGAGGAGCUGAAGACACAAACCUCUCACAGCAAGGACGGCUAUUCACAGAAAGAGGAGGACACACAAACUGAAGUUAUGGUAAUACAUACAAACAAUGAUCCCCACUCUGAGCAUUCGACUGAUGACUUUACAUCAAGACAUAACCGAGAUUUUGAUGACAGAAAACCAAGUGAAAACCCCUGUGAGGAAAUAGCAGCUGACGUAAAUGGAUUUUCUGAUCGUGUGGAGGCACAUCAAGAAUCAGAGAAAGACGAGGAGAGUGUAGCUGUUAAGGAGGAGGAAGGGAGCAUCAAUCAGACUCCUGCUGAAUUCUCGAUUGUAUCCAACUGCUGCGAGGAUGUCUCUGUCUCUACCUGCCGUGCCUCUAUCAGCACUGCAGUCCCCCCUGAGCUUUCUGCUCCUGUAGAGGGCGGCACCUGCAGUGCUGAGCAGAGAACAGAGACAGAGAACAGCAAAGAAGAUCACCUCAAGGGGUAUCAACAAGGGGCAGCAGAUCCUGGGAUCAUGGGUGGAGGAGAACUGGAUGUUAGCCGAUCCGAUCGACAGGAACCGAACUGUGCGGCUGACGAGAACAACACUGUGAACGAGAACAGAAAACCUCUGUUAUUCUUUAAAAAUGUGGAAAACAGCAGCCAGCUAGAAGAGAGAGAUGCUUCAUCUUCACCUCUUAGACACAAAGAUCCUUCCAUCCUCGAGAUAGAUGGGAGGAUCGUAAUGGAAAACGGUUGCAACUCUAGUACAACCGAGCUUAACGGAGCAGAGCGGAGAGAUGGGCUGGUGAGGGUAAACAGAGAAGAGGAGUCAGAUGGAGAGAAUAUAGAAGAGAGAGUAAAUCCUGAGCAAGGGGAUGAAGCUGGGGAGAUGUGGAGGAGGGAGUGCACCUGCAACGAGCUGGACGAUGGCGAUGGUGAAGGUGAUGGCGACAAAGAACGCCAAGGCGAGGACGACAUAAAUGACAUACAGGAGGAUGAUAAUGAAGACGGAACGAGAAACUGUGCACUGACAGCCAACUGGAGGUUACAGGAGUCUGCAGAUGGAUGCAGGGGAGGGAUGGAAGAGGUUGGAGACACCUGUGGGCAAACAAGCAGAGAGACCAGCACUAACGUCACUAAUAUGGCCUGUGCUGAUCCCUCCACCUCUCUUGCGCUCUCCCUGACUAAUCCUGCCCCCUCUUUGCCCCCCCUGGAAUCCAUGGCAACCGGCCUGCCCUGUCUGGAGGCAGAGAAGGAGGAAGGGGUCAGAGUGACAGCAGGAGACGGAGAAGGAGGCCGGGAAGGGAAGAGGAGGCACGGGAGAGAGCUGGAGGAGCAGGACAAGGAGGAGAGGGGCUCCACCGUGGCCCCCACUGAGGAGGGGAGGAAAGAGGAGGAGGAGGAGGAAGAGGAAGAUGAGUUUGGAGUGUUCAUGCAAGCGGAGGGAGAGCUGGGCUGGAGCGAGGGAUCCACCACGUCUGCCUCAGUGCCUUGUGGGAGCAGAGAGAGUGUUGCACUUGGAAACCACGCCAUCACCGGGGAGUCGACCCACUGGACACCAGGCUGGACGGACAGCUCGUUCCACCAAUCAGACGACACCUGGACAGCCUUUCCUCAGGAUUCGUCAGAUGGACGUAGAGACGUCGUGGGGCAGUGGUGGCCAACCAGCGCUGUGGAGGAGAGCAGAGACAGACUCUUCACCAAUCAGAAUCUGGCGGCUGUCUUUGCUGAAGCCUUCCCCUCGCUGCCUGGUGCGUCCGCAAGUGACCCCUGUGACCUCCAUAAUGUUCCCACACUGACCCAGCUCCUCAGGGGCAAAGCCAGCCAGGACCAGGGGCUGUUGGACAGUUUCCAUGACUUGAACAAAAUGAUUUGCCAGAGGUACAAGAGAGCUAAUGGCGUGUCUCGUGACCUGCUGCUGAAGACUUUACACCUGCAGCAGCCGCACACUGAAAGCAGACCUGCUCCCCGGACAGCCAACCGCCGUCUCUCCCCCGGCCUCCCCUCAGCCAAUCAGCACGCCCAGAACGCUGCCGCUAAGCGACGGCUGUCAUAUGACUACAACAGGAACAUCAUGGAGUAACAGUGUGGGUUCAGCUCUGGUUGGACUGCGACUUACCUGAAGAACUGCAGCUUUUAACCCGAGCUGGGCAGAGGUUUCUCAAGACUCUGGAGUCACAACAUGUGUCCUAUCUGAUAGUCAAAUACUGACCGACCUUUUGACUCUUUGCACACUCCCUGGUUAUUUGAGCCUGAGCCAGUGAGAAGACGUAACCUGAAUGAAAACGGAGCGACUCACUUCAGCUGUGUUUCAGAAGUUGUCUCCUCCAGCUCCUGUUGAUGUAUACUGGUGGAGUGUUUCCAUCACACACGAGCCACCUUGUUCACCACCACCACCACUCCGUCAUGUUCAUUUUCCUUUUACACCCUGAGAACAGCGGGUUGUUUGGAGCGUGAUGACCUGUAGUUACUCGGCACCACGUUGUUCCUGGUAUUUUAUCUGAGAAGAUUUAAAUUAUACCUAAAUAGAAAUAGAUCUGUGUGUGAGAGCUGCUGCAGAAAUGGUCUCACUGUUUGAAUUAAAUCUCACUGGGUUGAGCCAAACUAAAACAUUCACUUGCCAGGAAUGAAAUGGUUAAAGAUAAAUAUCACAGAAGUUCUGCUUUCCUGACCACUGCGUUCAUGAUUUUGGAAGCACAGCAUGCUUGCUAACUAGCUUAUCUGUAUUGAUAUAGGCAUUUAAGGCUAGUUUGAGCAUGCGGUCAGCUACGAUACUGUAACUAGCAAACUUUUGUCAUUAUUUGUGGAUACACUUUUUCCACACUUCUCUUUAUCUUUUGCAAAUAUUCUUAUUCUUACCCAGAGUAUUGCCUCUGUGGCUCCACCGAUGAGUCAUCUAACUCAACCAAUGAGAUUGUUUCUCCUUCCGGAGCAGCUCUGCCGGAAAGGUUUGUAGGACUGAUGUUGUGCUUGUAUCAUGUGGAAAUGGAAGAGAGCAAUAAGAGCAAAGGAUUUCUGUUACAGCUUACAAGCAUUCAAAUUAUCCGAUGGUUCACGUUCACAAUUGUUACUGAUUUGCACUUUUAAGUAAUAGUUAUUCAGCAAUGAGCUGCAGUUUAUUUUACUGUUCGGGUGCAAAACAAUUAAUAAUAAUUUAUAUUUGCAACAUUAGCAUUGAAUUAGUCACUGUGAAGGAGCCAUUCAUGUUUGCUUUUCGAGCAAUUCUAUAUUAUUUAGCAACAAGUCUGAUCAAUUGGAGCUUUCAGAAAAGCUAAUUUUACAUCCAUCUGAUAUGAAUGUGACAAAGAGCAUCAACCUGCCUCCCAGAAAUUAUGUUUUCAUUUUGUUGGAGAAAAAAGCAGACAAUGACAUAAUGGUGGCUUGACCUUGUGGCUGAAAAUCUUUAUUCAAACAUGCCGUAACACCUCCCCCCUUUUCAGUCGUCCUCCUAACAACAGAAGCCGGCAGUGUGAAAUGCUGUAUGGACUGCAGCGUAUCUCUACAGAUCUCAAUGUCAGCUGGAUUCACGCAAAUGUCAAAGCUCAUAUACCGCCCUUUCUUGUUUUUCAAUGAUAGAAGUAACAGAAAAGCAUUAUUUUAACAUGCAGAAGGCUGAAGAUGGGUCCAGAUGUGAGGAGUCUUACAGUUUUUUGUUGUUGAUGCAUGUGCUUUCAUUGUGUAUUUGCGACAGAAAAGCCAGAGAAAAGGAAUGAAUCCUCAAAUUAUUUUGGUUCCUCAGAGAAACAAGUUUGUCUUCCAGUUAGUGCCAACAGGAACACCAAUGAAAGUGCCAAUGUUUACGAGGUUAGAGAAGUGAAGCAGACACAUUCAGGAGGAAAUGUCGCCUCUUGUUUCUCAGACACUGAAGUGGAAAUUUUGGCAUGUGAUGUUUUUCUCUCUUUGUCUGGCUCUCUCUCUUUCAGUACACUCACAGCUCAGUCCACUUCACGGGCAAAACUUGAAUCUAGCUGCCAAUCGAAACAAUAUUUCUAUGAGAAUAUUGUUCACAUUAUGACCAUGUCAAUGAUGCACUGUACCUUUUAAUUUAAACAUACUAUUACAUAUUAUCACCCCAGAACGUUGAUUUCGCUCUACUUUGUAUAUUUCACGUGUCAACUCAAUCAUUUGUGAUGAUAUUCAGAAACAAUCAUUUGUGUUUGUCUGCCAUUUGUGCAAAUUCCUGAAAAAGAAAAAGAUUAAUAUUUUCUGAUCUGUUCAAAUGGGGAAAAAGGAGUUGUCGCCUUGUUAACUGAUGUAAUAAAAUGAUACUGUGUGAUGGCUGACAGCUUCCUCGUGGCAUUCAGAAGUAUGGGACAUGUUCAUUAUAAUAAGAGAUAUCCAUCAACCGGCAAGCAACAUGAGCUAUAACCACCACAGCAAAAGAUAUUUGAGACCUUUGCCUCAAACCGAGAAACAUUUUGGAAUCAGAUUUUUUAUAAAUAUUGUGGAAUGAACAUCUACUUCCCAAAUAGAUCUAGCUAUUUCAAAUGAAAUAAUGUACAUUGAAGGACUCUUUUAAUGUUCCUUAAGAUGACCCUACCAUUAUCCAAAAUUGUUUUUCACCUCUAAACAAGUUAGAAAGCACUGAAUCUGCAUAUGGAUCCCGAUCUACAUACUACAGACAGUGAUAUACAAUUGUGAGGAUUUUUGAAGAAUAUGUAAAUCCUGUCCAGGAUUAUUCAGACUGUGUGUACGGAUACAAAAUCAUAAGAGUUAUGGCCAUUUAAAAUUCCUCAUACUGCUAUAACACACAUACAUAUGAAAUGCCAUCAACUCUUACUCUGACUUGAUGCGGCUGAUGCAAAAUGCAUCCAGGAGACUCCCACUGUGGAAGGUUUGGGUAAACAGUUAUAGCAAAACAGCAUGGGACAUCAAUAAAUCUGUUAGGAACCAAAAUGGAUAGAUUUUGUGAGGAGGGGUGGUUAAAAACAACAACAUUAUAAAGAAGUUUAAAAUAGCUGCUGAGCUGGUAAAAAAAAAACUACUGGUCACAAGCCUUUUAGCUCGAAGGCAAACCGCCACAAUCACCCUCUGACUAUCAGUAUAGAGAGGCAAACAAACAGAUAAAUCAUUGUGACAUCUUCAACUUGGACUAGUUUACAAAAACAUGUUAUGUAAUGUGUUAUAUGUGUUUACAUGUAUGAAUUCACUCAUGUUUGUGCAAACAAAGAGGCACUGAACUUGGCUAAAGUUUAGCUCAACUGAUACCAAUACGUUGAUGAUAUCUUUACCUAUUAUUUGAUCAAGCUGAAUAUAUAUAUACAGUACCCAGGUUUCGGACUUAUAAUAAUGCAACAAUAAAUGCAAAUGUAUAUGGUUUAUCUGCAGUGUUGCAGCAAAUUCCACUGUAUCAAAGUCUGAAGACACCGACUGGUUUCCCAUCUCUCUCCGGUGAGUUCAGUGCAGCGGCUCUGUGCUCCACAGAGAGUUAAACACUUUAUUUGCUGAGUCAGAGCAGCUGCCUGCCUGCUGCACCGUGAUAACAGAGCUUUGUACUGCGUGGUAGAAAACAGGCCUAUGGGCAGCAGACCGCCCUGACCUCAACGCUUUACACCGCAUGAAUCAGCUGGCCUUUUACAUAAACACGACAAACAAGACGGCUAUUACUUUCAGGAGAAACUAAGAGAGCAUGGUGAGGGUGUUUCACUGUGCCUUGCAACCUCUUUCUGUGAAAACAAAUGCUGGGUUACCGUCUGGCCGCUCAGGGAUGCAAAUCUAAGAUUCCUGUAAACUGGAAUUUAAACUACAUUAAGCUCGACUUCAAGCUGGGGUUGGUAAUAAUACUAAUAAAAGUUGGUACAAACCUUUUGUAAUAUUUGCAGUUGUCACUUUAUCCUGACAGACAGAUAAUCUAUGAAGUCUCAUUUCCAGGGACCUAAAGUGUCGGUGUUUGACGAUCUGGAAAUGAGACCCAGCAAUCAGUCUUUCUCAGCUCUGAUUGGUUUGUUCUCGUUCAGAUUCGGUAGAUUUUGGAAACUGCCAUUCUGAGCACUAGGAGGAGCCAGAGGAACCUGAUUUAUUUCAUUAUCUGUCUCUUGUCAGGAUAUACUGAAAGUUUCAGCAAAACAUUUAAGGAAAUAAGUAAAUAUA
ensembl:lncRNA